UUUUAGCCCAGAUGGCAAUGGAAACCCCGGACUUAUAUUUGUUAGUUUUUUUUGGGAUAAAAAAGCGACUUUAGAAGCUCUUUUUAUGCCUUAAAAAAACAACAAAUAUAAGGAGGAGUUGGAAUGUACAGCUGGAAAUAGC
rnacentral:sRNA from 2 species